rnacentral:rRNA from 1 species
CACGCCGUAAACUAUGAGAACUAGGUGUAGCGGGUAUUGACCCCUGCUGUGCCGAAGCUAACGCAUUAAGUUCUCCGCCUGGGGAGUACGGCCGCAAGGCUAAAACUCAAAGGAAUUGACGGGGACCCGCACAAGCGGUGGAGCAUGUGGUUUAAUUCGACGCAACGCGAAGAACCUUACCUGGAUUUGACAUCCUCUGACAUCCAUAGAAAUAUGGCUUUUUAUGCUUGCAUAAACAGAGUGACAGGUGC